rfam:Populus trichocarpa isolate Nisqually-1 chromosome 19, whole genome shotgun sequence.
GCCUAUGAUGAUAUAAUCCAAUUUGUUUAAGGUGCAGUGGAGCCAUGUCCCUGUUUAUCAGGGAGAACCUACUUGGUGGAAGCUACAUUACGAUGAUAUUAAUGGAUUUAACUGAGGU